GACGAACGCUGGCGGCGUGCCUAAUACAUGCAAGUCGAGCGAAGUUUUUCUGGUGCUUGCACUAGAAAAACUUAGCGGCGAACGGGUGAGUAACACGUAAAGAACCUGCCUCAUAGACUGGGACAACUAUUGGAAACGAUAGCUAAUACCGGAUAACAGUAUUUCUCGCAUGAGAGAUAUUUAAAAGUUGGUUAUGCUAACACUAUGAGAUGGCUUUGCGGUGCAUUAGCUAGUUGGUGGGGUAAAGGCCCACCAAGGCGACGAUGCAUAGCCGACCUGAGAGGGUGAUCGGCCACACUGGGACUGAGACACGGCCCAGACUCCUACGGGAGGCAGCAGUAGGGAAUCUUCCGCAAUGGGCGAAAGCCCUGACGGAGCAAACGCCGCGUGAGUGAAGAAGGAAUUCGGUUUCGUAAAGCUUCUGGUG
rnacentral:rRNA from 1 species